AGAGUUUGAUCAUGGCUCAGGACGAACGCUGGCGGCGUGCCUAACACAUGCAAGUCGAACGAAGUAUAUUUUCGGAUAUGCUUAGUGGCGGACGGGUGAGUAACGCGUGAACAAUCUGCCCUGUACACAGGAAUAGCCUCGGGAAACUGGGAUUAAAACCGGAUAACACUUUUUGGCCGCAUGGCCGGGAAGUCAAAUUGAUUUAGAGGUACAGGAUGAGUUCGCGUCUGAUUAGCUAGUUGGUGAGGUAACGGCUCACCAAGGCGACGAUCAGUAGCCGGCCUGAGAGGGUGAACGGCCACACUGGAACUGAGACACGGUCCAGACUCCUACGGGAGGCAGCAGUGGGGAAUAUUGCACAAUGGAGGAAACUCUGAUGCAGCGACGCCGCGUGAGUGAAGAAGGUCUUCGGAUCGUAAAACUCUGUCCUUGGUGACGAAAAAAAUGACGGUAGCCAAGGAGGAAGCCCCGGCUAACUACGUGCCAGCAGCCGCGGUAAUACGUAGGGGGCGAGCGUUGUCCGGAUUUACUGGGCGUAAAGGGUGAGUAGGCGGUAAUAUGUGUCAGAUGUAAAAGGCUAUGGCUUAACCAUAGUUGGCAUUUGAAACUGUAUUACUUGAGUGCAGGAGAGGUAAGUGGAAUUCCUAGUGUAGCGGUGAAAUGCGUAGAUAUUAGGAGGAACACCAGUGGCGAAGGCGACUUACUGGACUGUAACUGACGCUGAGUCACGAAAGCGUGGGUAGCAAACAGGAUUAGAUACCCUGGUAGUCCACGCUGUAAACGAUGAGUGCUAGGUGUUGGGUAGCGAUAUUCAGUGCCGAAGUAAACACAAUAAGCACUCCGCCUGGGGAGUACGGUCGCAAGACUGAAACUCAAAUGAAUUGACGG
rnacentral:rRNA from 2 species